UUAAAGGAAUUGACGGAAGGGCACCACAAGGAGUGGAGCCUGCGGCUUAAUUUGACUCAACACGGGAAAACCUAUCAGGCCCGGACACUGGAAGGAUUGACAGAUUGAGAGCUCUUUCUUGAUUCAGUGGGUUGUGGUGCAUGGCCGUUCUUAGUCGGUGGUGCGAAUUGUCUGGUUAAUUCCGGUAACGGACGAGACUCUAGCCUGCUAACUAGUCGUACCGGCAUCCUUGGUGCAGCCGGCGACUGCUUAUCUUCUUAGAGGGACAAUUUGCUUCUAGCAGAACGAGAUUGAGCAAUAACAGGUCUGUAAUGCCCUUAGAUGUUCUGGGCCGCACGCGCGCUACACUGAAGGCAGCAGCGUGUGUUUUCCUAGUCCGAGAGGUCCGGGUAACCCGUGGAAACUCUUUCGUGCUAGGGAUUGGGGCUUGUAAUUUUUCCCCACGAACGAGGAAUUCCUAGUAAACUUGAGUCAUAAGCUCGCGUUGAUUAUGUCCCUGCCCUUUGUCCACACCGCCCGUCGCUACUACCGAUUGAAUAAUUUAGUGAGGUCUUCGGACCUGCGCUCGGCCGCCUCCUUCGGGGGUGGCCGAGGAAGCGGGGAAGAUGACCGAACUUGAUUAUUUAGAGGAAGUAAAAGUCGUAACAAGGUUUCC
rnacentral:rRNA from 1 species